UUUCCCAACCUCUCUUCUCUUCUCUUCUCCUCCCCUCAUGGUUUCUUCUCUUAAUUUUCCCUUACCGUCGUCGCCGUCAACCCGAUGAUGCCCCUGUGACACCUUGUCACCUUCUCUCCCUCUGCCCUAGCAACGACAGUCGGCCGCCGCCCUUGUGCCGAGUUCUUCUCCUCUUCUCGCGUCGCCAUCUGUUCUGUUGCCCCGUCGAGCACCGGCGCAAGGACUUCUCCUCACCGGCACAAUCCACUGACCGGUCACCAGGUCCCUUCCCUCUGUGCCCUCCGUCGAACCACCGCUGUACAAUUUCGGCUGAUUUCCCGUGCCCUAGGUUGGGUUCACAACCGGCCACUCCCGAUCUCCUCUCGCCAGAAGCCGAGCAUCGCAAUCCACCGUCGAACCAGAUCCAUCGGUGCCUGUACUCUCUUCCUCCCCACUUCAGAUUUCCUCUUCCUCUCCUGAUCCAUCGCCACCGCUGGUUGUGAUUGGGGGAGGAGAACAAGUAUCAGGAGGGAAUCCCUAUUCCUUCACAGCAACAUUUAGGAUCUUCAUCGAAGGGUUGUGGGAUGGCAUGGAGAGCUUCCUCUUCAUCAAAGCAGCCACUGGAUCCUUCACGGAGUGGCUACAUAUUUGGAUUGGGCUUCAGUUAUUCCUAUUGAGGGCGAUCCUCAGAUCAGGUCACUGUUUUUCUGAUCGCGAAUCCCUCUGGUCGUGAGCCAUCAGUGAACAUUAUCGGAUAGAUUGUCAAAACAUUCAAGGUGCAUCAAAUAACCAAAUAGAUGAAGCUUCAAAUCAGCAACACAAUGAUGUACAAGGAAUGAUCCUUAAAAGUAAAAAUAAUGGGAAACCUCAUUUUCAACUUCAAGACGGGGCAAAUACUCAACCACAGAUUUUGAUUGGCAAUUACACAACUCUAAACUCAAAAAAAAAAGACUGUCAAAACAUUCAAGGUGCAUCAAAUAACCAAAUAGAUGAAGAUUCAAAUCAGAAAGACAUUGAGUUACAAGCUUCAAAUCAUAUUGUUGAAAAUAAUUUUAUGGAUGAAGAAUUUGAUCGAGACAGAGAAAGUGAAUCUCCUGAUGCUAAGAAGAAAAUUAGAGGCCCUACAUUUAUGAAUGACAUUUGGGGUUGACCGAGUACGCUGCCACGUAUUAAGAUCCAAUGUGAUGGUAUGGCACGUCCUAUAGGAUCCAUCACGAGUUGAAUUAUUCCAUGCUUGCUUCACUAAAGGUUGACAGUUGGAUUACUUUCUAAUCCAGUUAGUUUAUCUCUAAAGGUAAAGUCUUUAUCUAGUUUUAUUACUUUAUUAUUAUAUUGAGUUAGUACUUUGUUGAUUCGGCAUGGUCUUGGGGUUAAGAAUAUAAGUUAGAUGCGUAAAUGAUUUUUUGUUGUUUAUUUUGAUAUUAUUUAUUAUUUGAUGAGCCAUAAUGAGUUGGAGUUUGCUUUCUUGUAAGCUACUGAUGUGGUUUGUGUGAGAUUAUAGUUAUUUUGAGUUAGCCAUUUAUUAAUGUUUUGUAAGCUAUGUUUUUGUGUGAGAU